rnacentral:rRNA from 1 species
UAUUAUGAGAGUUUGAUCCUGGCUCAGGACGAACGCUGGCGGCGUGCCUAAUACAUGCAAGUCGGACGCUUCUUUCCUCCCGAGUGCUUGCACUCAAUUGGAAAGAGGAGUGGCGGACGGGUGAGUAACACGUGGGUAACCUACCCAUCAGAGGGGGAUAACACUUGGAAACAGGUGCUAAUACCGCAUAAC